CACUGCACACUCUCACAGGGCUUGGGGAAGGACUCAAUCAGAAUUGCUUGGCCACACUGAAGUGAAAUAUUGAGGUUUAAACAUCAGGGUACAGUGAUGAUUUCAACAGCUAUCCGAGAAACCACAGAAAUAUAUCUUCAGGAUCUUCCCUGUAGCUCAGACAGUAGAGAAUCUGCUUGCAAUGCAGGAGACCUGGGUUUGAUCCCUGGGUCAGGAAGAUCCUUCAGAGAAGGGAACAGCAAUCCACUCCAGGAUUCUUGCCUGCAGAAUCUCAUGGACAGGAGAGCCUGGUGAGCUACAGUCCGUGGGGUCGCAAAGAAUUGGACACAAUUGAGCAAUGAUGCUACUAAUACUAUUACCUUCAGGAUCUAAGGAUAAUGAUAGCAUAAGCCAACAUAUUUCUUUUUACUCAAUAAACAAUGUCAACAUUAAUGACAUGCCUAGGGGAAGAAGAACCUAAGUUUUCUUUCGGCAGUGGUCCCAUUGCUUCCAGAAUUAGGGUGCCUGUUUUUCAGGCUGAUCAAAGCUGGGGAACAAAUCCCUGUUUGAUGUGUCUGGCACAUUUUUAAUGGUACCUUUGUAAAAACAAUUGAUAAGUAAUAUUUGUUGAGAAUUUGGGGCAUGUCUAUCCAGGAUUAAGGAUUUUCCCUGUAGCUUGGAGGGUAAAGAAUCUGCUUGUAGUGCAGGAAACCUGGGUUCGAUGCCUGGCUUGGGAAGAUCCUUUGGAGAAGGGAAUGACAAUCCACUCCAGUAUUCUUACCUGGAGAAUCCCAUAGACAGAGGAACCUGGCAGGCGAUAGUCCACUGGGUUGCAAAGAGUUGGACACGACUGAGCAACUAACACUACUACUACUAUCCUGGACUGAGUGCUUUCCAUGAAUUAUUUUAUUUAAUAUUCACAUUAAUCCAGCUAAGUACUGUUAUCUGGCCAAUAGAAAAACUGAACUGGAAUACUUAAGUAGUUUCCCUAAAUUUAGUAAUUGAUAGAGCUAUGGAAUCAGACUAUGCUUGAUCUGAUUCUAGAAUUGGCACUGUUACUCUCUAUACCGUGUUACUGUUAAUUCAUGCACAUGAAAUAGACAACUACAGGCUUAGAUAUCUUUGAAGGACAGAUUGAAAGCAACCUUAAAAAAGACAUUUGUCUUAGGUAUUCAGUGUGUUAUGGAAAGGACAAAGGGCUGAUAAUACUGUUAGAUAAGUUUUUGUUGUGUGUUUUCUGAAGAGAAAAGAAUCCUAGAUUAUUAAUGCUAAAUAUCCAAGAUUAUUCACUGGACACUUAACUUCCUUCUGUUGACAUUAAAAGAAACUUAUGAGCUACUGUGUUGAAAUGGCC
rnacentral:lncRNA from 1 species